UUACAAGCGUUGGCAAACAGCAUUGUAAUGAGGCUUGAGGCUUGAUGACCCAAGACGGCUUGCUUGCCUACCCCAGUUCAGCAACCACCCACAUCCAAACUUGUGUGGGUACAAGUGUCACGAGGAAAUCGAGAGAACCCUCAAAAAGAUGUUACACAGCCACUCAGCAGCAUCUGCCUGUGACAACUCUCCUGCGGGGACUAGCAACAGCAUACCGUCUCGAUCUCUGAAUCCAUUUCCCUGUAAUUCCGUACACAAGUGACGUACUUCAGCAGAUACAUAAAUGUACGAUUAGUGCGCAAAUUGUUCAUGCUAUCGUUAUGUAUUAUGUUAUCCAACACUCUUACAAUGAUCCUUCUGUUCAACAACCAAAGAUAAAACUAUUCUAAUCUAGGAUAUAACCUCUCCCCGUCAACUAUAAAAAAGGAUGGGUUUAUUGUAACACAUACACCAUUUCAAAAUGUAUAACCUUGUCUACGCUUUUUUUUUCUUUUUUUUCUACCUCGGACAUGGCUCAACGCAUUCGCCGGUCUGAGUACCAAAUGUGUUCGGCUGCCAGAUCCAACAUGACACGUCUUUUCCUGAGAUGGUGGUGGUGUGUUGUCCUGGUGGAAAACCUUGGGCUGGAAGGGUAUGGGAGGAAGUUCGCCCACUUUACUGAGGAAGGAAAAUCAACCCUCCGAGACAAUGUCCCACCUGUCUUCAGGAAAACGAAACUAAAAAGAACACUUUCAAGCUGCACAGUGAUGCCAUUGGACUCUGACGAGGACCAUGCUUACAAUAAGAGGCCUUACAGCUUUCCCUCUAAGGAGAUGGUUAGUAAAAAGUUAAUUGCAUACAAAGACAAUGUCCACCAUCAGAGCUGUACUUAUGUGAAUUUUUGUAUCCAUUUAGGGCAGUGGAGUUACCAUGGACAAAGAUGUCUUCAGCUUCAAAGAAGACACAUCUCUCAUUUAACAAACCAUUAAGUCAUUUAUUGGUACAGGCUUUAAUAAUUAAAAUACUUUUGGUAUGGAGCUUUUUAUAUUCUAAGGUUUAUGCCAAUAUUUGGAGGUGAGAACAUGAUGCUACUGCAUUUAAAGUCUCUAGUGCAAUCUGCUGUCUUCACCUGUAGCCAAUAUGUAUCAUCACAAUGUUCGAGUUGUGGCUUACGACACACACAUCUUUGGAUUUAUUGGGCGCUUUUCAAUACAAUAAUAAGGGUCCAAGUACUGAUUCUCUGUUGCCACUGGUUUACUUUUAUUUCUUUUCUAGAUAGGAAUAGUCUGAAAUGUCUUAACCAUGAGAUUUUUACAAAGCUGACAAAAUUAAUAAAAACAUGCAUUUAACAGAUUUAACAGAGGCUAUGUGGCUUUCCUUAAGGAGAAGGAGAGGAGAUGCUCUUUGCGUCUGAGUUCAUGAUCCAGGUUGAUCCACAACCAGUCACAACAUUCCUAAAAGCUGUUGUGUGUUAAGCUGCACGCUCAAUAAAAGUUAUUCAAAUGUUAAAACGGUUUGUAAACCUAAGAAAAAGCUGUGAUCCCUUACGAAGGAAACGGUGGAUAAGAAGAGAGGCACCAGGAUCAGUAGCCUACAUGACAAAACUGGAGGAAAACUUUGAGACCCCUAUAUGUGUAGUAGAGGUAUUUGGGUAUGGUCGGUACCGUUUGCAGCAGGCCUAAACCAUAGGUCCAUGGUCUCAACGAGUCGCGUUUUUAAUCCAUCACUGAGACAGAAAGUGGACAUUUAAGAUGUCAAUGGGUGGAUUAUUUUUUAACACAAACAGCUCGUAUGGACAGACAAGAGUCGUGGCUUUAAACAUAGUAACGUGUAUUUGUGAAAGGCAUGUUUUAUUACGUUUUUAUUAAGUUUGUUUGCAUUCUAUACAAAGUGAAUGGAGCUCUGUUUAAAGUCAGUAACGUGUAUUUAUGAAGGCCAUGUUUUAUUACGUUUUUAUUAAGUUUGUUUGCAUUCUACGCAAAGUGAAUGGAGCGCUGUGCAAAGUGAAUGGAGCGCUGUAGCACUGUUUAUUGUUUUCCCCCAUGAUGGCCACCAUAGAACGAGCAAUGGGCGUGUUUGGCAGAGCAAUGGGCGUAUUUGGCAGAGCAAUGGGCGUGUUUGGCAGAGCAAUGGGCGUGUUUGGCAAGUGGCUCCGGCUGCAGAUAGACCUACUUGAAAAAUGCCAAUACAUUGGGAUUGGGAUUUUGUCAGACAUUCUUUUUUCUCAUUUAUUUAUAAAUCCCCAAAUAAUUUAGGCAGGAGCAUCUAUCAGUCAAAAAUGCAUCUCACAUUUACACCUUAGUCAGUUAGUUCAGUAUGGCAUUGCAUGUGGUUUUAGAAAUAUAAGUCUGAGUGUAUGACUACACCAAGAUUUCUGUCUUGGUGUGUGCUUUCUAACAUAACAGCUGUGUACUGACUUUUAAUUGUUCAUCCCUUGCACCAAAGACCAUUACUUCAGUUUUUUCAUUGUUCAAUUGAAGACAAUUUGGCACAUCCAGUGAUUGAAGUAGUUAUUUAGCUGUUGAUAAACAGCUUUUCAAUGAUUUUGCUUAAAAAUGGUAAGUUAGAAAUGGCUUGAUGACUGUUGUUUUUUCAGAGCCUGUAGGAAUCACCUGUGUGAUAUCGCCACUGCAGGCAACAUGAAUAAAAAAAUAUAUAAUAAUAUACAAAUAUUUCAGUGUGUGUGCUCGUGUGUAUCCAAACACAUACACUGCAAUUCACAUACACACAUACAGCUCAAUGUAAAUCCAUGAAAACAUUAUUGUUAUUAGUUGUAUAGGCAAGGAUACAAUUCAUUGAACAUCGGGAAAAUCAUAAAAAUUGAUACAACUGAGGAACAGCUAAAUGUAAAUCCAUAAAAAACGGCAUGUUUAGAUCCCAUGGUGAAUUGAGGAAGAAUUCAUGAAUGUGUUCAUAUUAGAUAUUCAUCCUAUUCCUUGAAAAUAGAUUUUUUCAAGGAAUAGGAUGAAUAUCUAAUAUGAACACAUUCAUGAAUUCUUCCUCAAUUCACUAUGGGAUCUAAACAUGCUGUUUUUUAUGGAUUUACAUUUAGCUGUUCCUCAGUUGUAUCAAUUGUCUUAUUUAUUCAGUUUUGAAUGAGCAAAUAAAAUCUCAAUCAUAUGACAUCCAAGUCAUAUGAUAUAUAAGAUUGAUA
ensembl:lncRNA